GCUGCGAGAGGCCGGUGCGGGCCGCACUCGCGCGGCAGGUGGCGAUUCGGGCGCCAGAGCUGGCCGCGGACAUGACGCCUGAGGACCCAGAGGAAACCCAGCCGCUUCUGGGGCCUCCUGGCGGCAGCGCGCCGCGCGGCCGCCGCGUCUUCCUCGCCGCCUUCGCCGCUGCCCUGGGCCCACUCAGCUUCGGCUUCGCGCUCGGCUACAGCUCCCCGGCCAUCCCGAGCCUGCAGCGCGCCGCGCCCCCGGCCCCGCGCCUGGACGACGCCGCCGCCUCCUGGUUCGGGGCCGUCGUGACCCUGGGUGCCGCGGCGGGGGGAGUGCUGGGCGGCUGGCUGGUGGACCGCGUCGGGCGCAAGCUGAGCCUCCUGCUGUGCUCCAUGCCCUUCGUGGCCGGCUUUGCCGUCAUCACCGCGGCCCAGGACGUGUGGAUGCUGCUGGGGGGCCGCCUCCUCACCGGCCUGGCCUGCGGUGUUGCCUCCCUAGUGGCCCCGGUCUACAUCUCCGAAAUCGCCUACCCAGCAGUCCGGGGGUUGCUCGGCUCCUGUGUGCAGCUGAUGGUCGUCGUCGGCAUCCUCCUGGCCUACCUGGCAGGCUGGGUGCUGGAGUGGCGCUGGCUGGCCGUGCUGGGCUGCGUGCCCCCCUCCCUCAUGCUGCUGCUCAUGUGCUUCAUGCCCGAGACCCCACGCUUCCUGCUGACUCAGCACAGGCACCAGGAGGCCAUGGCCGCCCUGCGGUUCCUGUGGGGCUCCGAGCAGGGCUGGGAAGACCCCCCUAUCGGGGCUGAGCAGAGCUUCCACCUGGCCCUGCUGCGGCAGCCCGGCAUCUACAAGCCCUUCAUCAUCGGUGUCUCCCUGAUGGCCUUCCAGCAGCUGUCAGGCGUCAACGCCGUCAUGUUCUAUGCAGAGACCAUCUUUGAAGAGGCCAAGUUCAAGGACAGCAGCCUGGCCUCGGUCAUCGUGGGUGUCAUCCAGGUGCUGUUCACAGCUGUGGCAGCUCUCAUCAUGGACAGAGCAGGGCGGAGGCUGCUCCUGGUCUUGUCAGGUGUGGUCAUGGUGUUCAGCACGAGUGCCUUCGGCGCCUACUUCAAGCUGACCCAGGGUGGCGCUGGCAACUCCUCGCACGUGGCCCUCUCGGCGCCUGUCUCCGCAGAGCCUGUUGAUGCCAGCGUGGGGCUGGCCUGGCUGGCUGUGGGCAGCAUGUGCCUCUUCAUCGCCGGCUUUGCGGUGGGCUGGGGGCCCAUCCCCUGGCUCCUCAUGUCAGAGAUCUUCCCUCUGCAUGUCAAGGGCGUGGCGACAGGCAUCUGCGUCCUCACCAACUGGCUCAUGGCCUUUCUCGUGACCAAGGAGUUCAGCAGCCUCAUGACCUGCAGCCCCAGCGCCUGCCCACCUUGGCAUCUCCCAUUAAGUCACAUCAUGAGGGCAGAGAGCAAGGGCCUGUUUUUGCGACACUUGAAGUACAGCGUGGACCAGGCAGAGCAAGGCGCCGCAUCACAUCAGUUCCAGAUCUGCAGCAGCUGCUCUGAUUUCAGUGAAGUGUGAAACCGUGCACAGGACUUUGAACAACUCUCAGCUGUAGCAAAUCCAGUUUCCCCGCGGGCCUUCCAGAAGCAGGGUCCUGUCUCCUCGCAGGAGCAUCUCCCGUGGCAAUGGCCGCACCUCGGCAUCCGCAUUACCAGUGCUUGCGUGGCAGUCCACUAAUCGGACACGCAUGACAUUUGGUGCUGUGACUCGGAUCGGGGGACCUCCCUUGGGAGAUCAAUCCCCUGUCCUCCUGCUCUUUGCUCCAUGAGAAAAAUCCACCCACAAGCUCGGGUCCUCAGACCAGCCCAAGAAACACCUCACCAAUUUUAAAUCGGGCCACACAGGGCUUGGGCAAUCAGCCUAACCUCCCUAAACUACAGCCUCUGCUCGGGACACCCACUCUCAUCCACCUCACAGAAGACUGGUCUUUGUUCUGGAUGACUUCUCCAACUGGGGCUUCAGGCCAGAGACUGCUCCCAGCUCUGGCUUGGCUGUUCUCCAGCCUCUGCAAACCAGGGCUUGCACAAGAAAAAAGAGGGAAGGCAGGAGGAUGUGUCAGCCCCCAGGCUACAAGAGAGAUGGUAAACAUGUGGGCAAGGAACAUGUCAAUGUGGCUUCGAACUCUUCCUCAGCCUCUCUCCUUUGCUCUCUGCUGGAGUCUGCACGGAGGCUAAGAGUCAGUGUGCUUAGUUCCAAUUCUGGUUGUUCCACUCCCUGCCUACGUGAUGUGGACAACUCACCUGACCCCUCUCAGCCUCUGUUUCUUCAUCUGUAAAAUGGGCAUCAUGGCACUACCUCCCUCAUGGAGUUGUGAGGAUGAAAGGCAAGAAUUAUGUAAAGCACCUGAACCUGGUGAUGGGACAGAGUAAGUGCUCAGGCAAUGGCCGCUGUUGUUACUGGUGUGAGUGCGGGUGGGGCAGGGGGCGUGGUGAAGGUGGGGAGCUGUGCUAGGCGGGUGGGAGGCCCCGGGGGGGUUCAUAAAGGGACAUUUGAGAUCUUCAAUCAUUUUUCUCCUUAUAUUCUAUUUCCUACCUUGCCCUCUUGGCAACUCCCACCCGCACCACCUGCUGUUGCUACCAGUACCCACUUACCGGUGCCAAUAACGGGAUGCAUACUCUUCAGAGGUCCCUUAAUUUCCCUUUAAGCCUUCCCAUCAGAGCACAGAAUGCUUCGCGGACCCAUAGCCAGCCCCCAUUGACCAUCCUGUAGGGGCCCCAGAAGCCCAGCCUGGCGCCAUCAGGAAAGGAUUAUGGAGAGAAGCACUGGAUAGAACAGCCCCAGGGGACAGGUGCAGCAUAAGCUUGCUUUACCCAGCCCAGGACCGAAAUCUGCACGGCCCACGGACGCCCACUACCCGCUUACACCAUCCCAGCUCCUGCCCCAGAGUAACUUGGCUUCUGCAAACCAGAGACUUGUCCCUGACACCCCCUGGGGACCAGGGGUGGAAGUGCAUCAGCUAGAGCAAGACACACUCAGCUACCUCCUGGUGGGCGUAUGCGGGAUCCCAGGGCUAAGCCAGCAACCCUGUAGUGGCCAUUGGGGUUGGCACCUACUGAGCCUGGAGCUGUGGGCAGAAUCCCACCAGCUGACUUGUGACGCUCUCUGCUGCUGCCUUGUGGCCUGGGCAGGAUGACGCUGCCUCUGGUCCCCAACAGAGUGGAGAGUGAUUGAUUAUGGCUCCAAAGCUCAUUCAGCCUGCUGGACAAGGCAGGAUCAGCCGAAGGGGGUGAAACC